AACAGAAAAGUUCUUGAUUAAUAAGAAAUAAGAUCGCUGCGUUAGUAUACGAAGCAGCAGCUCAUUCGCAAUCCGGCUUCCAAUAACGCAACAUGCAGAUCAAGGUGGUUGAAAAUUUGACAUUGACAAAGCAUGAUAUCAAAUACUUCUUUAAAGAAAAUCUAAAAUUAUUAUCAAAAAUAGGUUUCAAAUGUAGUUUAACGAAAAAAAGUGAGAAAUUCAAGUUUCAUCACAAAAUACCAACAUACAUAGCAAAUUUCUGUGGGCUCAUUGUCUUUGCACUACAAAUAUAUUUUGUAAUCGAUAAAAUCCAGACAAAUACUGUAUUGGCUAUGCAGAGUCUCAGUUAUGCAGUUAUUAAUGUUCAGUCUAUUCUAAAGGGAUUUAUGACGGCAAAUUCCAUUGAAAAUAUACAACAAAUUUUCGAGAAUUUAGGAAUAUUUUGGCAAAAGUACAUGUCAAGAAAGCCCGGUAGGGAGCUGAUUUUGGAUAGAGCCUACAAAACUAUAUCACUCUGUAAAUUUUUCUUUGUCAUGGCUAUUGUUUGCUACUUCUUAUUCGUCAUGCAAUUUUUAAUAAAAUUUUCCAUCCAAUACCUUAACCGAGAGGCAACGAAUCAUACAUAUGACUUCUCUAAUACAGUCGACCUUAUUAAAUAUCCCUUCGAGAUACCUAACCUGCCUGUCUACUUUCUACUGAUUUCGGUAGAAAUUAAUUAUUUAUUCGUAUGUAUUGUAUUCUGGUGUAAUACUGAUAGUCUUUUUGUCACACUCACAUCUCACGUCUAUGUGCAAUUCAAGGCAUUAAAACUUGAUACGACCUUAGCUUUCAAUAAUAGUAUGUUGAAAGAACGCUCUAUUUUAAUAGAUAUGGUGAAUAGACAUAGAGAGCUUUUAAGAAUGUGCUAUUUAAUUGAAGACACAUAUAGCCCGAUCAUUUUUUCAACCACAUUGUUAUCAGCCUUGAACAUGUGUGUUACCGUUUAUGCUGUUAGAGAAUAUAUUGACAAAGGAUAUUAUCUAGAAAUGGGAAUACCUUUGUUUCUAUUUAUUGGUGCAAGUUUGCAGAUCCUAUUUUAUUGCAUCUUUGCCGAAUCACUGACCGAUGAGACGAGGUCAGUAGCUGAUUCUGUGUACAACUUAAAAUGGACGACAAAAGAUAAUAAAAUAAAAUUUUACAUACAGAUGAUAAUCAUGAGAUGUCAAAAGCCAUUUUAUUGUACAGCGUAUGGAUUUUUUCCAAUUGGCCAUCAGCAACUCACAUCGAUUAUUAGUGCAGCUUUUUCUUAUUACAUGAUGUUGCAAACAAUGAGUAAUUGAAGAAAAUACUUACGAUUGAUUGAACAAAAAAUAAUGAAAGUCAACCAGGCCCCUACAUUGUUAUUUAUCAUGACUUGAAUUUCACUGUUUCAGCCUAAGGAAAUUAACAAUUAUUUCAAUUGCUUUUGAUAUUGCAGCAGUCUCUCUAUAUUUAUUAACUACCUAGCAGGUACAUAAAACUAACAGGGCUACUCCACUUCUGUCACAAACAGAACGUUAUCAGCAAAAAUACUAUGCAUGAUCAUUUGACAAGACAAUAUUUUGCUGUGUAUGCGUCGUCUGCACUAGUCAGAUAGAAAGACUGGACUGCCACAACAUGCCCAAUCUAUGGAAAUGAGAGAAAUGUAUAGAUACUAACAUUCAUAAUUAACAAAGAGGUAUGCAAAAGUAUCAUCCUUUGGUGAGUAUAGUUUGUAUAGCAGACAAGUUCUCGGUUAAUAAGCAAUAAGAUCGCUGCGUUACUAUAAUGCAGAAACUCAUUCGCAGUUUGGAUUUCAAGAGCGCAACAUGCAGAUCAACGGUGGGUAAUUAUAUAGUAUCAGCAAAGAGUGGAUAGCUGCCAAUGUGUUCACAUUUUCAUUGGAAAAACGGUUUUAGAAAUUGUUAGUAAAUUUUUUGUUUGUUUCAGCAGUGAAAAAAUUGAGAUCGACAAAGCACGAUAUCGCAUACUUCUUCAAGGAAAAUCUAAUAUUAUUAUCAUUUGUAGAUUUGAAAUGUAGCAUUACGAAGAAAGGUGAAAAAUUCAAGUUCCAUCGUAAAAUACCAACGUACAUAGGAAAUAUCGAUGGGAUGAUUUUCAUUACAAGUAUAUUUAGUAGUAGAUGUUAUCAGGACUAAUGCUAUACUAGAUUUGCAAGUUUUUAGUCAUACAAUUGCUAACCUUCAAUAU